rnacentral:rRNA from 1 species
AUUGAACGCUGGCGGCAGGCCUAACACAUGCAAGUCGAACGGUAACAGGAAACAGCUUGCUGUUUCGCUGACGAGUGGCGGACGGGUGAGUAAUGUCUGGGAAACUGCCUGAUGGAGGGGGAUAACUACUGGAAACGGUAGCUAAUACCGCAUAACGUCGCAAGACCAAAGAGGGGGACCCUCGGGCCUCUUGCCAUCGGAUGUGCCCAGAUGGGAUUAGCUUGUUGGUGGGGUAACGGCUCACCAAGGCGACGAUCCCUAGCUGGUCUGAGAGGAUGACCAGCCACACUGGAACUGAGACACGGUCCAGACUCCUACGGGAGGCAGCAGUGGGGAAUAUUGCACAAUGGGCGCAAGCCUGAUGCAGCCAUGCCGCGUGUAUGAAGAAGGCCUUCGGGUUGUAAAGUACUUUCAGCGGGGAGGAAGGGAGUAAAGUUAAUACCUUUGCUAAUUGACGUUACCCGCAGAAGAAGCACCGGCUAACUCCGUG